AUUGAACGCUGGCGGCAUGCUUUACACAUGCAAGUCGAGCGGCAGCGCGGGGGGCAACCCCUGGCGGCGAGCGGCGAACGGGUGAGUAACGCAUCGGAACGUAUCCUGUAGUGGGGAAUAACUCAUCGAAAGGUGAGCUAAUACCGCAUAAGCUCUGAGGAGGAAAGCGGGGGGACCGAAAGGGCCUCGCGCUGCAGGAGCGGCCGAUGUCCGAUUAGCUAGUUGGUGAGGUAAAGGCUCACCAAGGCGACGAUCGGUAGCUGGUCUGAGAGGAUGAUCAGCCACACUGGGACUGAGACACGGCCCAGACUCCUACGGGAGGCAGCAGUCGGGGGAAUUUUGGACAAUGGGGGAAACCCUGAUCAGCCAUGACCGCGUGAGUGAAGAAGGCCUUCGGGUUGU
rnacentral:rRNA from 1 species